rfam:Asian citrus Psyllid, Diaphorina citri - Florida Strain, whole genome shotgun sequence.
UUAUAUGGCGAAAGGAGUUUGAAUGCAUCAGUUCCUCAGAGAUCACUGAAGUUCAGCAACGUUCUGCGUGUUUGGAAAGCGGAUGGGUGACCAUGUGGGGAAUCGCAUGCUGCCGUCUUCC